GUGGUGCGUGGGGCCCUAGGUAGUGCGCGUGUGUGGAACGACCGGCGCAAAUUUCAGCCGGUUCGCCGGCUCGAAGCGUUUCCCUUUACCAAAAGCAAUGGCGGCCUUUAACUGACGUAUAGGCGUAUAGCGUUGACGGACGUCACCACUGUCCAUUCGGCGGAACCAGUCGAGAUCUUGUUUGCCCUCCGCGGAUCCUCACGGAGACGAGAUUGAUGUGCGCGUUGCCUCUGUGAUUAUAGCUGUAAUCGCCGGCUGGUUCUGGUUUCGUCGCCACCAUGAAGCAAAAGAUUGUGGUGAAGGUCGAGCUCAAGGACAACAAACAGAAGUCGAAAGCGUUGACAGCAGUCGCCGUUCUCCCUGGCGUCGAGUCGAUUUCUUUGGAAAUUGAUGGGAAUAUCAUGGUCAUUGGGGACGGCGUUGACCCCGUCCACGCCGUGGGAAAGCUGCGAAGGUUGUUUGGGCAUGCUUUUCUCGUCUCCGUCGAGGAGAUCAUCAAGAAGAAAGACGACAGCGGCCAGGAGGAGGACGAAAGCGGUGCGACUCCUCCGUGCGAGUUUACAUUCGGGCUCUUGAACCGUAUCACAAAUAGUUUCUCAGGGGAGCGCAUAAUUGGUCGUGGUCGGCGUGGAGUAGUUUACAAGGGGGUACAGGACAAUGGGGAAUAUAUUGCUGUGAAGAAGCUUAAUCUCAUGCCAGGGCUUGACGACGAGGAAUUCAAAAAUGAGUUUAAUAAUCUUAUGAGGGUCCAACAUCAAAAUACCAUACGGUUAGUUGGUUACAGCCAUCAUACAACGCAAGUGCUUGCUGACCACAAUGGAAAAUAUGUUUCUGCUAGAGUGAAAGAAAGAUCUCUAUGUUCCGAAUACUUGGAGGGAGGAAGCCUUGACAAGCAUCUUUCUAAUGAACCAUGUGCUCUUGUCUGGCACACAUGUUACGAAAUAAUUAAGGGACUGUGUGAGGGCUUACAUUACCUUCACAAAGGAUUCGAAUAUCCUAUUUACCAUCUGGAACUGAAACCUACAAAAGUUUUGCUGGAUAAGGACAUGAUGCCCAAAAUUGGAGGUUUUGGUUUCUCUAGGCUCUUUGAUUCAAUAGAAGCCUCCAACACGCCAGAAGUUACAGCAACAAGAGUAUACAUGCCGCCAGAAUACAUCAGUAAACGGCUAAUCACACCAAAGUUUGAUGUAUUCAGUCUGGGCAUUAUAAUCUUGCAAAUCAUGGCAGGAAAGGAGAGCUACACCAAGUGUAUAGAUACUUCCCCCGAAGUAUUUAUUGAGAGUGUAUAUGAAUUCUGGGUAAACAGGAUGCAGGGCACAAUAUCAAAGCAUACUUCGCGUGAAGUUAGAACAUGCAUCGAAAUAGCUCUAAAAUGUGUGGAGUUCAGUCGAGAAAAGAGGCCUACUAUAAAGGAGAUCAUACAGAAACUGAAUAAGAUUGAUAUUGUUGAGUGCUCAUCUAUACAUCAGCUAUAUAGAGCAAAAGAGUUUUCAUUUGAGUUCUUAGAAAAUAUUACUGAUAAAUUUUCUAAGCAAAACAUAGUUGGCCGUGGUGGAUAUGGAAUUAUUUACAAGGGGGUGCUGAAGGAUGGAGAAGAGGUUGCUGUUAAGAAACUUCAUCAAAUGUUGUGGAUUGAUGAUGAACAAUUCAAAAACGAGCUUAAUAAUCUAAUGAGGGUCCAACACAAAAAUAUCGUACGGUUAGUUGGCUACUGCCACCAUGCAUCACAUAUAUUUGUUGAGUACGAGGGAAAACAUGUUUCUGCUAGCGUGGUAGAAAGAGCAAUUUGUUUGGAAUAUGUGCAGGGUGGAAACCUUGACAAUCAACUUUCUGCUGAAUCUUGCAGACUUGAUUGGGACAAAUGUUACAAAAUAAUAAAAGGAAUAUGUGAGGGUUUACAUUACCUUCAUAAUGCUGAUACUCCCAUUUACCAUCUGGACUUGAAGCCAGAAAAUAUUUUGUUAGAUAAGGAUAUGGUAGCAAAAAUUGGUGAUUUCGGUUUGUCAAGACUUUUUGAUUCACCACAAACCUAUAUGACACAAUCCCAAGAUAUUAAAGGAACACGUGGAUACAUGCCACCAGAAUACAUCAACCGACAGGCAAUCAGUCCCAAGUUUGACGUAUUUAGUCUCGGGGUCAUAAUCAUACAAAUAAUGGCAGGAAAGGAGGGCUACUUCAGUUGUCCAUACACCCCUCCGAAAGAAUUUAUUACAACUGUACGUGAAAACUGGCGAACAAAGGUGGAGGCAACAGUGUCGCCCCAUGCAUCUGAACAAGUGAGGACAUGCAUCGAAAUAGCGUUGAAAUGUGUGGAGGAUGACCGAACGCGAAGGCCUACAAUAGCCCACAUUGUUAAUGAACUAAGUAACAUUGGUGUUGCUAAAGGAUCACCCAUUCGCCAGUGGGCGGACAAGCUGACUGCGUUAAAGACCUUGUUAUUAUCCACUCACUUCAAACAUUGGCUGUUCCUCUUUGUCGCAGCGAUUUCCAUGUUUUUCGCAUGGGCUAAAUUCUGUCCAGAUUCAUGGUGGCAAGGCAUUACAAGGAGAACGUAAACCGCAGCACAUACUGGAUGCCUUCAUCUACGCGCCCCGAAAGGCGGUAGCAGGGAGAAUAGUUUCUAUACGAAGGAUGUUAGUGAUUUCCAUAUUAGUUUCUGCUGUCAAGCAAGCAAAUGGCUAUCUUCGGUCAGUAGAGUGCUAGGGCGUCCACUGAUGUCCCAGCCGCAGCUUCUGGAGCCGAGCUGCGGUCUCAAGCUUUGGCGAGGCGGCGAGCUCCCUCCCUCCAACCAAGGACUGGCGCGAGGUGUUUGACGAAAUGGAUGUGUGGAUUAGCAAACAAUUUCUUUGGGCAUUUAAGCUUAGAGAGCAAGGACCAAGUGCAAGAAAGGUGAGCUCCUCAAAUGUUAGCAGGUUGAACCUCAUCCCGCUGAAGAACAUGCUGGAUCGGUGUGGCCAUCUCCAUCAUCUUUCGCCAUUAGAAGCCCUGCUUAAAGAAAUUAAACCUUUGCAUGGUGCGUGUUGCGUAUGACAAUGUAAAAAAAAAUCUGGAUGGCAACCAUGUGUGGGUUGGCCAUCUGCCUCAGCUUGUACUGAACUGGUGUGCUGGCGGUUUUUAUGGAAUGCGAGAGCAGCGUUCCUUGCAAAAAAUUGAGCAAAUA